UGAACGCUGGCGGUAGGCCUAACACAUGCAAGUCGACCGGCAGCACAGUAAGAGCUUGCUCUUACGGGUGGCGAGUGGCGGACGGGUGAGGAAUACAUCGGAAUCUACUUUUUCGUGGGGGAUAACGUAGGGAAACUUACGCUAAUACCGCAUACGACCUACGGGUGGAAGCAGGGGAUCUUCGGACCUUGCGCGAUUGAAUGAGCCGAUGUCGGAUUAGCUAGUUGGCGGGGUAAAGGCCCACCAAGGCGACGAUCCGUAGCUGGUCUGAGAGGAUGAUCAGCCACACUGGAACUGAGACACGGUCCAGACUCCUACGGGAGGCAGCAGUGGGGAAUAUUGGACAAUGGGCGCAAGCCUGAUCCAGCCAUACCGCGUGGGUGAAGAAGGCCUUCGGGUUGUAAAGCCCUUUUGUUGGGAAAGAAAAGCAGCAGGUUAAUACCCCGCUGUUCUGACGGUACCCAAAGAAUAAGCACCGGCUAACUUCGUG
rnacentral:rRNA from 1 species